rnacentral:rRNA from 1 species
UGGGGAAUAUUGGACAAUGGGCGAAAGCCUGAUCCAGCCAUGCCGCGUGUGUGAAGAAGGUCUUCGGAUUGUAAAGCACUUUAAGUUGGGAGGAAGGGCAGUAAGCUAAUACCUUGCUGUUUUGACGUUACCGACAGAAUAAGCACCGGCUAACUUCGUGCCAGCAGCCGCGGUAAUACGAAGGGUGCAAGCGUUAAUCGGAAUUACUGGGCGUAAAGCGCGCGUAGGUGGUUUGAUAAGUUGGAUGUGAAAGCCCCGGGCUCAACCUGGGAAUUGCAUCCAAAACUGUCUGACUAGAGUAUGGCAGAGGGUGGUGGAAUUUCCUGUGUAGCGGUGAAAUGCGUAGAUAUAGGAAGGAACACCAGUGGCGAAGGCGACCACCUGGGGCUAAAUUACUGACACUGAGGUGCGAAAAGCGUGGGGAGCAAAACAAGGAUUAGAUACCCUGGUAGUCCACGCCGUAAAACGAUGUCGACUAGCCGUUGGGGAUCCUUGAGAUCUUAGUGGCGCAGCUAACGCAUUAAGUCGACCGCCUGGGGAGUACGGCCGCAAGGUU